rnacentral:rRNA from 1 species
CGGGUGAGUAAUGCGUGACCAACCUGCCCCAUGCUCCAGAAUAGCUCUUGGAAACGGGUGGUAAUGCUGGAUGCUCCAACUUGACGCAUGUCUUGUUGGGAAAGUGUUUAGUGGCAUGGGAUGGGGUCGCGUCCUAUCAGCUUGUAGGCGGGGUAAUGGCCCACCUAGGCUUCGACGGGUAGCCGGCCUGAGAGGGCGGACGGCCACAUUGGGACUGAGAUACGGCCCAGACUCCUACGGGAGGCAGCAGAU